rnacentral:rRNA from 1 species
AGAUCAAAUUGUUGGUCGUGCCUCGGUACGUACUGGUAUUAUUGGUUUCUCCCUUCUGACGAACCAUGAUGUCAUUAAUUUGAUGUCGUGGAGAAUCAGGACUGUUACUUUGAAAAAAUUAGAGUGUUUAAAGCAGGCAUUAGCUUGAAUACAUUAGCAUGGAAUAAUGAAAUAGGACGUUUGAUCCUAUUUUGUUGGUUUCUGAAUCACCGUA